GAACGAUGAACCACUUCGGUGGGGAUUAGUGGCGAACGGGUGAGUAACACGUGGGCAAUCUGCCCUGCACUCUGGGACAAGCCCUGGAAACGGGGUCUAAUACCGGAUACAACCACUGACCGCAUGGUCGGGUGGUGGAAAGCUCCGGCGGUGCAGGAUGAGCCCCCGGCCUAUCACCUUGUUGGUGAGGUAACGGCCCACCAAGGCAACAACGGGUAGCCGGCCUGAAAGGCCAACCGGCCACACUGGAACUGAAACACGGCCAAAACUCCUACGGAAGGCACCAUUGGGGAUUAUUGCACAAUGGGCAAAAGCCUGAUGCACCACCCCCCCUUGAGGAAUGACGGCCUUCGGGUUGUAAACCUCUUUCACCAGGAAAAAAGCAAAAGUGACGGUACCUGCAAAAAAAGCGCCGGCUACUUACUUGCAACCAGCGCGGGUAUUCA
rnacentral:rRNA from 1 species